rnacentral:rRNA from 1 species
AUUGAACGCUGGCGGCAGGCCUAACACAUGCAAGUCGAGCGGAUGAAGGGAGCUUGCUCCUGGAUUCAGCGGCGGACGGGUGAGUAAUGCCUAGGAAUCUGCCUGGUAGUGGGGGAUAACGUCCGGAAACGGGCGCUAAUACCGCAUACGUCCUGAGGGAGAAAGUGGGGGAUCUUCGGACCUCACGCUAUCAGAUGAGCCUAGGUCGGAUUAGCUAGUUGGUGGGGUAAAGGCCUACCAAGGCGACGAUCCGUAACUGGUCUGAGGGGAUGAUCAGUCACACUGGAACUGAGACACGGUCCAGACUCCUACGGGAGGCAGCAGUGGGGAAUAUUGGACAAUGGGCGAAAGCCUGAUCCAGCCAUGCCGCGUGUGUGAAGAAGGUCUUCGGAUUGUAAAGCACUUUAAGUUGGGAGGAAGGGCAGUAAGUUAAUACCUUGCUGUUUUGACGUUACCAACCGAAUAAGCACCGGCUAACUUCGUG